UUGCUGGUGGCCUCACCAGAAUUAAACCACCAAAAUAUUUCGCGAUCGCCUCUCACACUCUCUCCACCUCCUUAAUAACAUCAACCUGCACAUAUAGAGCUCUCCUGAUAACUCUACCAUACAAAUCCGCUUACCAGGAGCUCCGGAUAAGAGAGAAACUAGUCUUAAAAGCCAGGAAUGUUAGCAGUGUUGGAGGUGUGUUGGAGAGAGUCAGGGUAGUGUGUGUUAAGCAGUGACAGUGUACCCACGCCUCUAUCUCUACCUCCUCUCUCUAUAUAGAGCCUUGCAGGGCGUGUUGCACCCUGUUGCAGAGUGUUGCAGUGUAGACAACCCCAGUGUAGUCUUAACAACCCCAUAUAACCCCGUAAACCCAGGUAAAUACCAGUGGAGGGUAACAAUCAACCCCCACCAACCACAACCCUAGUGAUAUAAGGACUGUCUUUGCCCUCAUCUUUCUUAAACAACUCUCAACUCAUCUCUUAAGUUGUUGGCUGGACGAUAAAUGGCCCCUGGACGUAUGCUGGAACACCUUCUGAGGAGCACUGGUGAAGCUCGCGUGAUUGGAGAGUUAAUCACAGGACGCGACGGUAACAACUACUCCCCUGGAGGGGAGUCGUGGAAGUGUGCCUUCGCUCCUGACGAGUCUCGCUUCGCCUGGUCGUGUGGCUUUAGGAAGGUCGUUAUUCUUCCAUGGAACAGAUACAAGAACUGCCUGUAAGUAUUUACUCCCUCUGCUUGUU